CUCUUUAAGGUGUGCCUAACAAUUUAUGAGGAAGAUCGAGUUUUUGAGGUUUGUUUUUUUUUUUUUUUUCUCCCCGUUUCUGGAGUUUGCAUGCUUGUUCCCCUGUUCUUCUUAGGGCAGGAUUUCCUUCCUAGCAUAAUGGCUGAAACUGUGAAGUACACAAUUCUGCGUGUUGCCAGACGAAUGCCUUCUUUCAGAGUUUGGGAUGGGCUCAGGCAGUAUAAAAAAUGUACUGAGAGACUACUGUUGUAUGGUUUCCUCCAUUUUGUGCUAUAUUGGAAGAAAGCUAAAAAUAUCAGGUCAUCGUUUCUCGCAUGAAGACUUUCAAAGCAACAUUCUUAGGGAUCAAAAAGAAAGUCUGCCAGCAUCUGUGCGGAGGAACUCACCUGCCUGUCCUGCCUUGGCAUUUUGGACGUCUAAAGGGAGCCAGGGCAGUACUGCAUACUGCCUUUAUGCAGUAAAAGUCUAGAUCAGAGUCAUAGCAGAGCAGCUUUUUUCAGUUCUUUUAACUGUGAGGAUAUGUGUAUUCCUGCGGACAGUUGGUUUGAAGAAUAUGGGAAUUCAGAGAUACCAGAUGGGGAGAUUUCCCAAUCUGUUGUGAGAGACUUGCAAUGACCUUUGGCUUCUUGGCUUCUUGUCAGCCUUGGCGCUGUUUGCACUACAGUCAAAUCUGAUGAGGAUACAGCUGCUAGGAUAACGUGGCUAGAGUUUCCUUUGCGUUCUUCUCCUCCUCUCCUCCGCAGUCAGCAAUGCUUUCGUUGUCUGGUGUCUCUGCGCUCAGGACCUUUCACUCUUAACUUUCAAAAACAGCUAACUUCUCUAUUCAGAAGAAGAACGCAAAUUUCAAUGCCAUUAAAUACGUACACAUAGUUUAUUUAGGUUAGCCCACAGCAUUUAACAUUUUGUACAGAUCUCUCUGAAACAUUCCCUCUCGAAGAUUGAAAAAAUAACCAGAUGUUUUGGAGCAGUUACCAGCAAAGUUGAUGUUGAGCUCAGGAAAGUUGUAAAAUUAUUCUUUGGAUUUAUCAGGCGAAGUACUGAUAUUUAUUUAUUUGACUGAUUGAGAUUCUAACUCAGAACAAUUAUUAUUUCAGCUUUGGUCGUCUUGACAGUUUGUGGGUAUAUGACUACUUAGAUAGGUCUAGGGUGGGUCUCAAGCCCCUUAAUUGUAAAGAACAAAUUGUCAGUCCCCAAUCCUUGACAACUAUGGCAGUUUCAUUUUUAACUUUUUUCCCUACCAGAUGUUACAUCUCCUUAUCAAAGAGUUGGAAGUGUCUGUAAUAUGAAAAAAGUAUACCUUUUCUGUACAUGAUGUACAGCUCCUAAUGCCUGAGGAAGGAAUUUACAAUUAAAGAUUUAUGCUUUUACUCUUCUCAAAAUCCUUAUUAUAAGGCCAGCUUUGACAAAUCAUUACUAAACUGCAAUGUCAUUGCUAUUGUGUUUAUUUUUUUCAUGUUAGAAUAAGUUCG
rnacentral:lncRNA from 1 species